rnacentral:rRNA from 1 species
UUGAUUUGAUUCUUCGGAUGAAGAUCUUGGUGACUGAGUGGCGGACGGGUGAGUAACGCGUGGGUAACCUGCCUCAUACAGGGGGAUAACAGUUAGAAAUGACUGCUAAUACCGCAUAAGACCACAGCACCGCAUGGUGCAGGGGUAAAAACUCCGGUGGUAUGAGAUGGACCCGCGUCUGAUUAGGUAGUUGGUGGGGUAACGGCCUACCAAGCCGACGAUCAGUAGCCGACCUGAGAGGGUGACCGGCCACAUUGGGACUGAGACACGGCCCAAACUCCUACGGGAGGCAGCAGUGGGGAAUAUUGCACAAUGGGGGAAACCCUGAUGCAGCGACGCCGCGUGAGCGAUGAAGUAUUUCGGUAUGUAAAGCUCUAUCAGCAGGGAAGAAAAUGACGGUACCUGACUAAGAAGCACCGGCUAAAUACGUGCCAGCAGCCGCGGUAAUACGUAUGGUGCAAGCGUUAUCCGGAUUUACUGGGUGUAAAGGGAGCGUAGACGGAGUGGCAAGUCUGAUGUGAAAACCCGGGGCUCAACCCCGGGACUGCAUUGGAAACUGUCAAUCUAGAGUACCGGAGAGGUAAGCGGAAUUCCUAGUGUAGCGGUGAAAUGCGUAGAUAUUAGGAGGAACACCAGUGGCGAAGGCGGCUUACUGGACGGUAACUGA